rnacentral:rRNA from 1 species
GAUGAACGCUAGCGGCAGGCCUAACACAUGCAAGUCGAGGGGCAUCAUAAAACAAGCUUGCUUGUUUGGUGGCGACCGGCGCACGGGUGCGUAACGCGUAUGCAACCUACCCUGUACUGGGGGAUAGCCCGGAGAAAUUCGGAUUAAGACCCCAUAGUAUUCUUGAAUGGCAUCAUUUGAGGAUUAAAGGUUACGGUACAGGAUGGGCAUGCGUCCUAUUAGCUAGAUGGUGAGGUAACGGCUUACCAUGGCAACGAUAGGUAGGGGGCCUGAGAUGGUGGUCCCCCACACUGGUACUGAGACACGGACCAAACUCCUACGGGAGGCAGCAGUGAGGAAUAUUGGUCAAUGGGCGCAAGCCUGAACCAGCCAUGCCGCGUGCAGGAAGACGGUCCUAUGGAUUGUAAACUGCUUUUGUACGGGAAGAAACACUCCUACGUGUAGGAGCUUGACGGUACCGUAAGAAUAAGGAUCGGCUAACUCCGUGCCAGCCGCCGCAGUAACAC